rnacentral:snoRNA from 1 species
AACCAAAGUGCCGAGCCUAGUCCCAGGCUGCAUCUCUAUUCUGGUAACUUAACUUUGGCACAAUAAGACAGACACAGGAUAGGGGAGAUGACUGGGUACAAGGUAUAGAGAUUCAUUUCCUUCCCAACUACAGAU